rnacentral:rRNA from 1 species
AUUGAACGCUGGCGGCAGGCUUAACACAUGCAAGUCGAACGAGUGGCGGACGGGUGAGUAAUGCUUGGGAAUCUGGCUUAUGGAGGGGGAUAACGACGGGAAACUGUCGAUACUACCGCGUACCAUAGGAUGAGCCCAAGUGGGAUGAGGUAGUUGGUGGGGUAAUGGCAUACCAAGCCGACGAUCCCUAGCUGGUCUGAGAGGGUGACGGGCCACACCGGGACUGAGACACGGCCCAGACUCCUACGGGAGGCAGCAGUGGGGAAUUUUGGACAAUGGGCGAAAGCCUGAACGAGCAAUGCCGCGUGACUGAAGAAGGUCUUCGGGUUGUAAAAGACUGUUGUCAGAGAAGCGGUACCUGAAGAAUAAGCACCGGCUAACUACGUGCCAGCCGCCGCGGUAAUUC